CCCCCACCCCGGCCAGGGGACUCCGGGGAUCGAUCGGAUUUUUCUGCACUGUCAUCCACCGUUUUUCCCUCCUUUCUUCGAUCUUCCUCUUCGAUCUCUCUUUUCUCUCUUUCUCUCUCUCUCUUUCUCUGUCUUCUUUUCGAAACGCGCCAAUUUCGACCCCUGGAGCGUCGGUCGCCUCCGUUCGAAUUUUGCGAGAAUGGAAAGAAAUUUGCAAUUGCAAGCAAGGAUUGUCGAGGAUUAAUAAUAAUAAUAAUAAUAAUAAUAGUUGCUUUCUGUGUAGAAGGAAAGGAGAGAGCGCAGUUUCGAGCACGUUCGAUCGAAGUGUAGUAUAUAGGAUGUUGGGUGCAGAAGAAAAAUUAAUGAAAAAUAAGGAAGGAGUAAACAAUGGGUGAGGUCAGACACGAAAUCGUGGCCGGAUCGUGGACGAGAACCGAUAAGGAACAAUGCCGGCGCAGUGUUUUCCCGGGGAGAGGCGAUUAGUCUCGUGACGCGUAUCGCUUGUCGAAAGGUCAUUAAAACCGGCUGGUCGCGAUCGAGGGAAGUGGCAAUGGUAAUUUCUAGACAGGGACGCACGUACACAUUGAACGUGGCGCGAACGUCAUCGGGACUUAUAUCACGUUCUUCGAAAAUAGCCGAGUGCCACCGUGCGUCGAGUGCGGACUGACGCACGCGCGCACCACUGGCACGUGCCUCCUACUCCCUCCCCGACUCUUUCGAAAUUACUCUUUCUACUUGUGCGACCGAUUAAACGCGCGCCACGGCAUUUAUCUCGGCGCAUACGUGCACGUAUGCCCGGCACGAAACACGGAUACGUUGUAUUUCUUCCGAUAUGCCGUGCAACCGUUUCGUUAAUUGAUAUCGGACCCGAUAGAACCUGGUCCGGGUUCGUAAGUUUUUCGUAAGCUACGAAAUUCUUGAUUUUUUACUCUCUCUCUCUCUCUUUCCAAUUUUGAAUGGAAAAUUUUGAAAAGAAAUUUCUAGAAAAAAGAAAAAAAUGAUGGACAAAUUACACGUUUUAAAAAUAAUUGUGGAUUGGUGGAUAUGGAAUCAGUAACAAGUAUCACUCUUGUUGGAGAAAUUUUGAGAUCUUUUUUGUAAUUUUAUAAUUUUAUAAAUAGCACGAGGAUGCACAUUUAUAAGAAUAUGGGAGGAAGGGAUUAAUUAGUUUUAUUACGAAUUGUAAAAAUUUACACUCGUGGAACAAAAUAUUAAAAUUAUACGGGCAAGUGGUGAUAUUGCCCACACUCUAUCUCCGGGAAAUAUCAACGACCCCGAAUAGAAUCAGAGGUUUUCUGCGUAGAAAACGUCGCAUCGCAAUACCCCGGUUCCUAUUCCAUUUCCGCAACAAGAAUCGCGUUUCCUCGAUAACGAAUCGCUUAGCGAAGCGUCACUCGAACCAACUCGUGUACACCGAUUCCCCGGCUAUCUGCUGGGAGUAUCUCUGGCUGAGAGCACGGACGUGUCAAAGGCUCGGCGGGCAGAUAAUCAGCGGAGCCGGCGCGCGGAUGGUUCCGGCGCCGAGUGAAGUCAGCCAAGUAUUCCAAUCGCUGAACUCUGCCGGUCUGCAAAGGGUGGGAAACGGGCAAAGCGUGUAAAAGGGCGACUGGGAGGGGGAAGCAAGCCCAGGAGUUCGUAGAAGCGCGGCGUAAGUGCGACGAGGAUCGUUCCGUCUCUGUUCCUCGAAACGGGACGAGAGAGGCCGAGUGGUGCGGCGGUUGGGGAUAGAGGAUCGGCAAAGGACGAAGGGACUCAUCCUUGCGAAGGUCGAACAAGGACAGCGAGGGAUCGUGAGAUCAGAAGUUAACGAUCUUGUGAUCAAGAUUAAAAGCAAAGAAGUUUGUAAAGUUUUCUGAUCUAGAAGGAUAAAACGAGAAGGCGAAGCGAGAAAUAUUCUGCCUCGAGAUAAUUAUCUGGCCUUCUUUUUCAACGAGGGAGAUUCACAAAUGUGUCGAGAUUACAUAUUUCUCGCGGGGAUGAUGUAAAUUCUCCACGUCGAUUUUAAUUCGGGAAGAGAUGAAUAAGUUAAACAGGCUCGUUUUUCAUCAUGCAAGUAUUAAACCAUUUGGAGGAACUCGAUAGAAGAUAAAUUGAUUUAUAAUCGAUCGAGGAAAAAUUGGUAACGAAUCAACUUGAUCGAAACGACGAACGUGCGAAGUAAGGAUCGAAGCGUGACGUGGAGGAGGUUCCCUCCUCGAGACAGAGAAGUGACUGUUUCGGAGGAACGAUAUCUCACAAGGAUUAACCCUUGAACACGCGGGAGAUGAUUUCGGUCAGGCGAAAAUGAUCCAGGAAUAUCCCGAUUUCUGACGAUUAACUUCCGUUCUUGGAUUCUUUCCUUGGAUUACGUGGAUGUUUGGAAAAGGAUGAUCCUAAUUGCUUCAAUUAUUUCUGUCUUUUUUGGGGCAGAAAUAGAGGAACGUUAAUGAAAAUAUAUUCGAUAAAUUUCGAAGUUAAUCGUAUGUUUUGUAAGAUUCGUGUAGUAAUUAUAUGACAAUUUUUGAUUAAACAAUUUAACAAGAAAUUGAUUAUUUAUUUAGCAAUUGUGUCGAAGAGGAAAAUGUUCAAGUAUCAUUUUAUUUUUUUUCUCCCAUCGCACAGAGUGCAAUUCUAGGAACACGUUUACAUCAAAAUCAAAGAUCCUUCUACGAAUUGAAAUUAAAUCAUCAAACCUUUAACCAAACCAACCUCUGUUGGACGAUCGUUCGAUAAUUUCGAGGUUGUGUCGUUUCGCAGGAUAUCGUUUCAAAAGAAGAAAAAAAGAAAAAGGAAAAAAAACACGUUUAUACGGUUUCUAAGAAGAAGAGGAAGAUUAGACAGCGAAACGACAAGAUGGUGGAACGUCAAUCCCGGAGCCCGUGUAUGAUAAUUCCACUGAAUUUAGUGGAAUCGAUGGAAUCGUCUUUCCUGCGAUCCUCGUGGCAUAAAUUUAGACUACCUGAUCCGUGAAAGUCUCUCUGUUUCUCGGUUACUCCGCACCGAAAUGGAAAUCUAUUGGUCCACCGAACGAGGAGAAAAAGUGGACGAGCCAAUGGACGAAACAUUCCCCGGCUGGGGAUCACGAAUUCGGAGCUGUUUCACUCGAGCAAGCAUAUAUCAUGUUCAAUACCGUGCUAUAUCAUAAUUCCGUUGGCCCUGUAUUCGUGAUUCCGCAGGAUUUUCGCCGAGAUUUUCGGCGUUAUAGCGUUUCGCGUUACGGUUUUGGGAGAAUUUAAUAUUAAUGAUAAUAUAUGCGUUUACGGUGGUCUUCUUUGGAAACGAGAUUGCGAACGAGUAGAAGUGGAAAAAAGAGAAAGAAGAAGAAGAGGAAAUAAGAG